GGAGUGGUUCCUGUCUGGUGGCAGGCACGGUCUUCAAAACCGUUGUGGCGUCUUGUGGCGUUGGGUGGGUUCGAUUCCUACCCAUUCC
rnacentral:tRNA from 1 species